UGCAAGUCGAGCGGAAACGAAGAGGUGCUUGCACCUUUGGCGUCGAGCGGCGGACGGGUGAGUAAUGCUUGGGAAUAUGCCUUAUGGUGGGGGACAACAGUUGGAAACGACUGCUAAUACCGCAUAAUGUCUACGGACCAAAGUGGGGGACCUUCGGGCCUCACGCCAUAAGAUUAGCCCAAGUGGGAUUAGCUAGUUGGUGAGGUAAUGGCUCACCAAGGCGACGAUCCCUAGCUGGUUUGAGAGGAUGAUCAGCCACACUGGGACUGAGACACGGCCCAGACUCCUACGGGAGGCAGCAGUGGGGAAUAUUGCACAAUGGGCGCAAGCCUGAUGCAGCCAUGCCGCGUGUGUGAAGAAGGCCUUCGGGUUGUAAAGCACUUUCAGUAAGGAGGAAAGGUUAAGUGUUAAUAGCACUUAGCUGUGACGUUACUUACAGAAGAAGCACCGGCUAACUCCGUGCCAGCAGCCGCGGUAAUACGGAGGGUGCGAGCGUUAAUCGGAAUUACUGGGCGUAAAGCGUACGC
rnacentral:rRNA from 1 species